rnacentral:rRNA from 1 species
GAUUAAGCUACUAAGGGUAUAUGGUGGAUGUCUUGGUACUAAAAGCUGAUGAAGGACGUGGAAGGCUGCGAUAAGCUUCGGAGAGCUGUCAAACAAGCUUUGAUCCGGAGAUUUCCGAAUUGGGAAACCUGUCGUAAAGAAUGAAAUACUUCUUUUUUGGUUCAUACCGCGACAUUAUUAUCUGAAUAAAUAGGAUAAUAAAAGGAACGAAGGGAACUGAAACAUCUAAGUACCUUCAGGAAAAGAAAGAAAAAUCGAUUUCCUUAGUAGCGGCGAGCGAAACGGAAAUAGCCUAAACUGGUUGUAUGUGAUAGCCCUUGUGCGUUGUAUAACCAGGGUCGUGGGGUUUACAGUAAGUGAGAUAAGGCUCCUUGGAAAAGGUAUUAUUUUUAGCCGAACAGGCAGGAAAGCCUGGCUUUAAAGGGUGAGAGUCCCGUAGGCGAAAAAAGUAAUAAAUUUUCUUGUAACACCCCAAGUAAUGUCGGUCACGUGGAAGCUGGCAUGAAUUCAGGAGGCCCACCUCCUAAGGCUAAAUACUUUUAGUAACCGAUAGUGGACAAGUAGCGUGAGUGAAAGAUGAAAAGAACCCCUGUUAGGGGAGUGAAAUAGAACCUGAAACCAUAUACUUACAAGCUGUAGGAGCACAAUGAGUAUGUAAUUUAUUAUAUACUACAGGUGUAACUGCGUACCUUUUGCAUAAUGAACCGGCGAGUUGCUAGUUGCAGCAGGUUAGACUUAAAAAAAGUGGAGCCAAAGCGAAAGCGAGUACUAACUGUGCGAUGGUUGCAAAUAGCAGACCCGAAACCGAGUGAUCUACCCUUGGUCAGGAUGAAGUUCCGGUAAGACGGAAUGGAGGUCCGAACGCGUUUACGUUGAAAAGUGAUGCGAUGAACUGAGGGGAGGAGUAAAAGUCUAAUCAAACUCGGAGAUAGCUGGUUCUCCCCGAAAUAGCUUUAGGGCUAGCCUUACGUGAAUUGAUAAUAGGGGUAGAGAUACUGAUUGAGUAUUGGGGCCCACCAGGCUACCAAACACAACCAAACUCCGAAUACUAUUAUUUUCUGCGUAGGAGUCAGACUAUGGGGGAUAAGCUCCGUAGUCAAGAGGGAAACAGCCCAGAUCAUUAGUUAAGGUCCUUAAAAUGAGCUAAGUGAAAAAGGAAGUGGAAGUGCAAAGACAGCUAGGAUGUUGGCUUAGAAGCAGCAACCAUUUAAAAAGUGCGUAAUAGCUUACUAGCCGAGUACUUUUGCGCCGAAAAUCAGCGGGACUAAGCUCAUUACCGAAACUGUGAAUCCUAAUUUAUUAGGGUGGUAGGGGAGCGUUCUAUUAUAGGUUGAAGCCUUACUGUAAAGAGAGGUGGACGAAAUAGAAGUGAGAAUGCCGGUAUAAGUAGCGAUAAUAUAAGUGAGAAUCUUAUUCGCCGAAAGCCUAAGGUUUCCUGGGGAAGGCAAAUCCGCCCAGGGUUAGCCGGUGCCUAAGUUGAGGUCGAAAGGCGUAAACGAUGGACAACAGGUUAAUAUUCCUGUGCCACCAUUAUAGCGUUUGAGCAUGGGAGGACGGGAACGUGAAGAUUAGCAAGCCCACUAGACAUGGUUUGUUUAAACCGGAGGUACUGCUUCAGGCAAAUCCGAAGCAAUAAAGUGCCGAAGGUGAUGACGUUGGCUUUAAGCCUAGAAGUAAUCCGAUCGUUCUCCAAGAAAAAUCUCGUUAGCGAGCUAUUUUGGUGACCGUACUAAAACUGACACAGGUAGGCUGGGGAGAGAAUCCUAAGGCGCUCGAGAGAACCCUCGUUAAGGAACUCGGCAAAAUUGCUCCGUAACUUCGGGAUAAGGAGUGCCUUUUUGAUAGAGGUAUUUAUAUCGAUAUUAAAAAGGCCGCAGUGAAAAUGUCCGGGCGACUGUUUACUAAAAACACAGGUCUCUGCUAAGAUGUAUAAUUGACGUAUAGAGACUGACGCGUGCUCGAUGCCAGAAAGUUAAGGGGAUAGGUUAUUUGUCGAGUAAUCGAUAAAGAAGCUUAGAACUUAAGCU